UACGGAGGGUGCGAGCGUUGUUCGGAAUCACUGGGCGUAAAGGGCGUGUAGGCGGUCUGUUAAGUCUGAUGUGAAAGCCCGGGGCUCACCCCCGGAAGUGCAUUGGAUACUGGCGGACUCGAGUCCCGGAGAGGAGGGUGGAAUUCCUGGUGUAGCGGUGAAAUGCGUAGAUAUCAGGAGGAACACCGGUGGCGAAGGCGGCCCUCUGGACGGUGACUGACGCUGAGACGCGAAAGCGUGGGGAG
rnacentral:rRNA from 1 species